GUGUUCUCUCUAGGCUCCGGCAUGACGGGUGACUUCUUCCGAGUCUGGCUUCUGCAGCACACAGGGCUUCGCCAGCACCCAGCUCCUGCAGCAUGGGCAGCUCCUGUGACAGCAGGCGCCCGCAGCCUGCAAAGCGUCUCCAGUGCCGCCGCCUCAGUGAACCUCAACCAGCGGCACCUAGCAGCUUUCUCUGCCACCCUCUUCAGGCAGGAAGCCCGCCUGACCCCAUGUCUCAGGCUGCCAGAGGAGCGUGCGAUGAGGAAGGCUGGACUGUCUUCACAGGACACCAGGGAGAAGCCUCAAGCCACUGCCCCCUGACAAGUCGCAGCUCUCCAGCCUGUCUCCUCACUCCCCUCCCCUCCACAUGGGGGGGUUGGGGUGGGGGCGGGGAAGGUUCGGGGCAGGGGUCAUUUCAGCUACUGGGCACCAGUCUCCUCCUCAUGUUUAUCCUGUUCCCUUUGCUUGAAAGGUUCGUACUCCAGAUCCUUGUAAAACCGCUUCUCACCCUUUGAGUCUCAGCUUAAAUGUCCCCUCCUUGGAGGGGUCUUCCCUGACAAUGAAGCUCCGACCGUC
rnacentral:lncRNA from 1 species